rnacentral:tRNA from 1 species
UUGGGAUAGCUCACUUGGUCA